CAUGCACAUAACUCACUUAAACUAAUAGGCAUCUCCAUUAGUUUGAGUUUUUCAAAUGUGCAAAUAUAAAAUCAGUUUUGUCGCCUUCCCUAGCUUAAAAGUAGCUAGAGGAAGUGAACCAAUAAAAUUGAAACACU